CGUGAGUGAUGAAGGUCUUCGGAUCGUAAAACUCUGUUAUUAGGGAAGAACAAAUGUGUAAGUAACUGUGCACGUCUUGACGGUACCUAAUCAGAAAGCCACGCUAACUACGUGCCAGCAGCCGC
rnacentral:rRNA from 1 species